rnacentral:rRNA from 1 species
AUUAAUUGAAUGGCCGCAGUAAUUUGACUGUGCAAAGGUAGCAUAAUCAUUAGUUUUUUAAUUAAAAGCUUGUAUGAAUGGUUGGACGAAAUAAAUACUGUCUCUUUUUAAUAAGUAGAAUUUAAUUUUUAAGUUAAAAAGCUUAAAUAAUAAUAAAAGACGAGAAGACCCCAUAGAUCUUUAUAAUUUUAUUUAUAUUUUUAAUUAGGAAUAUUUUAUUGAUUAUAGGUAUAAUUAUUAUAUUGGGGUAAUAGGAAGAUUGAUUUAAUUCUUUUUAAAAUUUUUCAAUGAUGUUUGGUUAUUUGAUCCUUUUUUAGAGAUUAUAAGUUUAAGUUACCUUGGGGAUAACAGCGUAAUUUUUUUAGAGAGUUCUUAUCGAUAAAAAAGUUUGCGACCUCGAUGUUGGAUUAAAAAUUAUUCUGGGUGCAGAAGUUCGGAGUUUUGGUCUGUUCGACCAUUAAAUUUUU